rnacentral:rRNA from 1 species
CCUACGGGAGGCAGCAGUGAGGAAUAUUGGUCAAUGGGCGGAAGCCUGAACCAGCCAAGUAGCGUGCGGGAUGAAGGCCCUACGGGUCGUCAACCGCUUUUGCACGGGGAUAACACCCUCCACUUGUGGAGGUCUGCAGGUACCGUUCGAAUAAGUGCCGGCUAAUUCCGUGCCCGCAGCCGCGGUAAUACGGAAGGCCCGAGCGUUAUCCGGCUUCAUUGGGCUUAAAGGGAGCGUAGGCGGGCGUUCCAGUCAGCUGUAAAAUCGCGCGGCUCAACCGCGCCCCGCAGUUGAAACUGGACGCGUUGAGUUCACAACAGGCAGGCGGAAGUCGUGGUGUAGCGGUGAAAUGCAUAGAUAUCACGAGGAACCCCGAUUGCGAAGGCAGCCUGCCGGGGUGCGACUGACGCUGAGGCUCGAAGGUGCGGGUAUCAAACAGGAUUAGAUAUCCGGGUAGUC